rnacentral:rRNA from 1 species
UACGUAGGGUGCAAGCGUUAAUCGGAAUUACUGGGCGUAAAGCGUGCGCAGGCGGCUUUGCAAGACAGAUGUGAAAUCCCCGGGCUUAACCUGGGAACUGCAUUUGUGACUGCAUGGCUAGAGUGCGGCAGAGGGGGAUGGAAUUCCGGCGUGUAGCAGUGAAAUGACGUAGAUAUGCGGAGGAACACCGAUGGCGAAGGCAAUCCCCUGGGCCUGCACUGACGCUCAUGCACGAAAGCGUGGGGAGCAAACAGG